rnacentral:rRNA from 1 species
GCACGCGCGCUACACUGAAGGAAUCAGCGUGUCUCCCACCUGGUCCGAAAGGACCGGGUAACCCCCUGAAACUCCUUCGUGCUUGGGAUUGGGACUUGCAACUAUUUCCCAUGAACGAGGAAUUCCCAGUAAGUGCGGGUCAUAAGCUCGCGUUGAUUACGUCCCUGCCCUUUGUACACACCGCAA